UUUGAAUAAAAGCCGAAUUUCUCCAAAAAAACAGGGAACCAUAUAUUAUGGGGUUAAUAUCGUAGAACCGUAUGAAUUUGGGGCAUUACGCGAAUCAGUCAGAUAAUCUGGCAGGCUUUACCUGCGGGAUAU
rnacentral:sRNA from 2 species